GGGUGGACAGGUGGUGGCAUGGUUGUCGUCAGCUCGUGUCGUGAGAUGUUGGGUUAAGUCCCGCAACGAGCGCAACCCUCGACCUUAGUUGCCAGCAUUCAGUUGGGCACUCUAAGGUGACUGCCGGCUAAAAGUCGGAGGAAGGUGGGGAUGACGUCAAAUCAUCAUGCCCCUUAUGACCUGGGCUACACACGUGCUACAAUGGGCGGUACAAAGGGUCGCGAACCCGCGAGGGGGAGCCAAUCCCAAAAAGCCGCUCUCAGUUCGGAUUGCAGGCUGCAACUCGCCUGCAUGAAGCCGGAAUCGCUAGUAAUCGCGGAUCAGCAUGCCGCGGUGAAUACGUUCCCGGGCCUU
rnacentral:rRNA from 1 species